GCAACUUUUGCAGGCAAGCUUCCAUUGUCCUAGCCAGUAAAAUAGCCCAGAAGGCUGUACUUUAGAAAGAGUUCAGUGGACCCACUGUUGUAUCUCUCAGAAGAACCUUGCUGUCCCAGGAACAAAGGUCUCUAAACCAUCUGAACACAGGGUUAAAGCAGAAUCCAGUUUCUUCAGCCUUCCAACAUAAACAGAAGACCAGCAGAUCACCAUGGAUUUUCCUGGCUUUUGUAAUCUGUUUGGAGUCUACUCUCAUGAACUGAGCACCUACAGACAAGUUCUCCUGCAUUCAAAUCUCCAUUGUUGGGAAACUUUGUAUCACA